ensembl:lncRNA
AUGAGAGGUUCGUGUCUUCAACUGGCCUACAAAGUCCCAGUUCUCGGCUCCCGGGACCUGCCGGGCGCGCAGCGGGCGAAGACGGAGCGCGGCGGCGCCGCUGGCGCUGCCCGGGGCCGCUCGGGCGCGACGCGGGGUCCGGCCCGGGCCGGUCGGGUCCGGGGCACGGCGGGCGCUGCUCAGGGACCGCGGCUCGCCCGGCGCCGGGGCCGGCGGGUGCCCGGCUCGCCGCGGGGAGAGGACGGAGCUGGCUCUCCGCGAACCUGGAAAGCUGACUGCUCAACACUUCUGAAAGCACCUGGCCGAGCUGUCCUGCUCCGAGUGUCCAAGGAACCAGAAGCCAACAUGAGUCAACGCUCUGGGAAACAUCGGCCUGCCAAGAUAAAAAUCUAUUUCUUCUGUGUGUGUCUGAAGAUCCUGAACAGAGUCAAUCCCCACUAACCAAGCAAAUGGAGAGAGCAGAUAGCCCAGAUACAGCCAAACUCAGAAGAGUAAAAAACAGGUAAAUUAUAUCCUCAAAUGGACAGUAAGAAUAUGAAAUACAGAAGAGUUUAGUGUUGCUGCUGAGUACAGACCACAGAUAACACUGGCAGACCUGCACCAGGCAGCACAUGUGGAUAUGCCACUGAGCCCAGCUCAGCAUCUCAGCUGAUUUCCAUGGGGACAGUGGAUAGUGGAUAUGUAGGGAUAACUGCAAUUCAGACUGGUGGUGUAUAACAGCGUGAACAAACACUGAGAAAAACCCAAAUUCCAGUUCAGGUGAGAGCAGAAAUAUUUUAUGCUAACCCAGAGGAAGUGCCUGUCAAAUUGAGUAACUGAGAACUCUCUACUGCCUCAGCUCAGCCUCCCUUCCCAAAUUCCAUCAGCAUUCACUCCUUCUCAUGCCCCUCUUCUCUUUCCUGACUCUUCCCCCACAGGCUGAAGGAAAUGGUACCUGCAAUUGCUAUGCUGAAGGAGUGCUGUUCCAUCCCAAGGCAGCCCAGAGCAGAGCUGUGGUCCAAGCAAAGGGGAAAGUCAAGCACAAGCAGAGGCAUAAGAGGAGGAUGUUUUGGUGGCUCUGAUGAGAGAGGAAUGCCCUAGUGCAAGCUGCAAUUUGGGUCACAGUGUGGUAAGAGAAGAAGAUACAAAGCCUCAGAUGGCUGGAGGACAGUGUUUGGCAAGAGCCUGGGAGAUCCACCUAGAAAAAUCUGAAUCUAAGACAAAGGAAACCCAUGAUUCAAUUUCAAGAUGUGUCAGGUCAGCCACGAAGAUAGAUACAGACAGAGAGGAGGAGAGGUGAGAAUGCACUUCCUUUGCUUUUAAAAGAAAGGCCAGAGAAGAAGAAAAUCCACUAAAUGUAACAGCCAGUGAAAUAAGUAAAGUAUUUGGGAGGUUAUUUUCUUGGUAACAAGCUAAUGUAAAUAGAUCUUUGUAUUAGGUCAUAAAUGUGACUUCCACAAAGAUGUAAGUGAACUCCCCUCAUUCAAAGGCUGCUGUGGGCUGGACAUUUCCAUGGAAUUCCCUCCCUGGACCCUCCACUGUUUCCUGUCAGGCCUUCACACAGCAGGGCAGUCCCACUCCUGACAAUGAGUAAGGCUCAGGACUAUUGUAACCAAAAACCAAAAUGUGUUUCCAUUAAAAAAAUCUGGCUGAUAGCAAUUAAUUCCACGUUUUUGUGAAUAAAUAUCAUGCGCCUGGUGCCAGAACACUUUGGCUUGUUUGCAGAAGCUAACAGUGACACAUAAAUCUAUUUUCCCUGUUGCUCAACAGACCAUCUCAUUCUGCUGACCAAUUUUCACAGGGGAAGAGGGAUUUUUUCUGUCUCUCAGUCAAUACCUUC